ACAACAUGAUGUGGACAUUUCCGUAGAAGGUCCUUCAUCCUAUCCCAAGUUUCAUGAAAGGGUUCUCCCUUUAUUUGUGAAAAACCUGUUAUGGCUUUCCGUAUUU